rnacentral:rRNA from 1 species
UCGAGCGGCAGCAUGUCCUUCGGGAUGAUGGCGAGCGGCGAACGGGUGAGUAAUACAUCGGAACGUACCUUUUAGUGGGGGAUAACGCAUCGAAAGAUGUGCUAAUACCGCAUAAUCUCUGAGGAGGAAAGGCGGGGACCUUCGGGCCUGUCGCUGAAAGAGCGGCCGAUGGCUGAUUAGCUAGUUGGUAGGGUAAAGGCCUACCAAGGCGAUGAUCAGUAGCUGUUCUGAGAGGAAGAUCAGCCACACUGGGACUGAGACACGGCCCAGACUCCUACGGGAGGCAGCAGUGGGGAAUUUUGGACAAUGGGGGAAACCCUGAUCCAGCAACGCCGCGUGAAUGAAGAAGGCCUUCGGGUUGUAAAGUUCUUUUGUCAGGGAGCAAAGGGUUUGUGCUAAUACCGCAAACUGUUGAGAGUACCUGAAGAAUAAGCACCGGCUAACUACGUGCCAGCAGCCGCGGUAAUACGUAGGGUGCAAGCGUUAAUCGGAAUUACUGGGCGUAAAGCGUGCGCAGGCGGAUGAUUAAGUUAGGAGUGAAAUCCCCGGGCUCAACCUGGGAACUGCUUUUAAGACUGGUCAUCUAGAGUUUGUCAGAGGGGGGUGGAAUUCCAAGUGUAGCAGUGAAAUGCGUAGAGAUUUGGAGGAACACCGAUGGCGAAGGCAGCCCCCUGGGAUAAAACUGACGCUCAGGCACGAAAGCGUGGGUAGCAAACAGGAUUAGAUACCCUGGUAGUCCACGCCCUAAACGAUGUUUACUUGCUGUUGGGGGCAACCUUAGUAGCGAAGCUAACGCGAGAAGUAAACCGCCUGGGGAGUACGGUCGCAAGAUUAAAA